AAGAUCUUAAGUUAACUAAACUAUGAGCCUUCAAAGCUUAAUAUAAGAAAAAAUUCUUAGAUCUUA
rnacentral:tRNA from 1 species